CACUGCCAGGGACGGCGACUGCACCACCUCCCUGUGCAGCCACUGCAGUCAGCACGGCUUUCAGUGCUUAUCCCAGUGCCCUGCCGUGAUGCCAGCAAUCACUGUACUACUGAAAUACACCUAUGUAGCACCAAUCCUUUUCUGUUUGCAGUACUGCCGCCUUUAUGUCCUCUUCAAAAUAGAUUUUGGUUUAACUAUGUGAUAAAACUGAGAACUCAUGAUUCAUUGCCCAUCCAAUGUAAUCAAUCCUUUAAUUUCUGCUUUCCAGGACACAGCCAUUAGCCAGUAACCACAAACUGCUCUGUGGGACUCUCAUGGAAACAACAGCCCUCCUGGAUGACAAUUAUCCAUUGUUACAUACAGCAAGAGAUUUUAAACCAAAAGUUUAUGAAUUACUGCCCAGUGUUUAUCCAGCUCUUCAUGCACUACUGCCAAAUGCUUUAUAAAAAUCCCUUAUCCAUUUCUGAGGUGCCAAAAUUCCUUUUUUUCACACACUCUACCUUGGAGAUACAAAAUUUGAUCUUUUCACCACUCUACUGAUGGAGAAUUGAGACACACAUUUGAGGAGCAAACAAUAUAACAGUCAGAUUUUGAAGGUCUUUAAGUCACUGAAGAAACUAUGAAACAGACCAUGUUUAAUUACUGCAUUUGGAGAGAAGCACAGGGCAGAGUCCUUCUAUCUAGUGCACAGAGGGAGCUUGGAGAUGCUUAGGGCUGUAGGUUAAAGUGGCUAGAGGAACAUGCAUCAGGACCUUAAAGAGAGCCAGAAGCUUCCCUAAUCGUAAGCUACAGAAUCCAAUAUUGCUCAUUUGUCUUUGAAAAACCCAACACUAGACAAUACGUGAGUCUGAGCUGUUGAGAGAAAGCAAACUGAGAAGAUGUGAUAAGGUCUUUGAAUAACACCAGCAUAAGUGGAAUGCAGCAUAAAAUGAUGUAAUUGCAGUAUCAGAGUUUCGUGGGUGUUCAUUCAUGAAAUGCCAAGUGCAUCGCUGAAUUACAGGGACUCUAAUGGAGCUGAGGAGCGCUUCCCACCAAGGAGAUGGAUGCCAGGGUGGGGGUCAGUAUCACUUGAUCUGAAGUAGAAAAGCAUCUUCCUGCAAGACUUCAUUGCAGGCAUUUUCCAGACAGCUCAGGUAUUUUUAAAGAAAGACAUGACCAUAGCUCUGCCUAAAUCAAGCUUCUGUCCUUCAACACAGAAUUGACAACAUAACUUCAUGAAGUUGUGAUCUAUUAGAAAGGAGAUUUUAAAAGACCACAGUACUGCAAGGAAUAAAACAGGAUUUUGCCACAUUAUCCUAGAUCAGCAGAUGAGUCCAGUCGUCGUCUCUUGCAGUAUUUGAGAGCAACAAGACAAAUAGAGCUUUUUCCCAGAUGGAAGCUGAUAGAGAAACUGUGAUGCAGCUGAUAACCUUCAGCACACAUCCAGGUGAUCAGAACAGCAAGAAAGAUAAGGGAAAAUGCUUCGCUGUUCAGCCCAUGUCAAAGCCCCAACAUCUUUGGUCCACCUUGAACUGAAGGCAGACUCUGACGCUGGGCACAGUGCAGCCUCCUGUGGGAGGACAGCACCACUCAGUGAACCUUCGGGGGAUUCUGGCGUCCCACUCCUCCAUGCUGAGCAGCCUGGCUGCUCGCUCCGGAGCACUCCCUGUUUCUCAUCGGGGUUCUCUGCCGUCAUCUCUGAGGUCAGGAAGAAAGACCACGCCUCGCCUGCUCCUAAACAAAAGACUAUAGAUAGCUGUGGCAGCAAAUGCUUCUCAUUAUGUACUCCUCUCUCCUCAGACUGCCUGCCCAGUUGGGGGUGGGAGCAGCAUGGGGCCCUGAGAUGCCUGUGCUGCUCUGCUGUGUGUUUUCUGUUAUGUGGGGUGAGGAGUGCAUUCCUCACAGGCUUUGAAUGUCUGCAAAACCCCAGAGGAAUCCUCGGAGCAGUGGGAGGAGAGAUCGGGCACGGAGAAGUUACCCAUGCACAUCGGGAUAAGGCGUCCCC